GACAGAGGGUGCAAACGUUGUUCGGAAUUACUGGGCGUAAAGCGCGUGUAGGCGGCCAUGCAAGUCGGAUGUGAAAGCCCUCGGCUCAACCGGGGAAGUGCACUCGAAACUGCAAGGCCAGAGUGUCGCGAGAGGAUCGUGGAAUUCUCGGUGUAGAGGUGAAAUUCGUAGAUAUCGAGAGGAACACCGGUGGCGAAGGCGGCGAUCUGGACGAUGACUGACGCUGAGACGCGAAAGCGUGGGGAGCAAACAGG
rnacentral:rRNA from 1 species